AACGGGGGGGGCAGGUGUUACUCUUCGGGAUUGGGCGUAAAGGGCAACCAGACGGCUUUGCAAGUCGUGGCUUAAAUGUUUGGGCUUAAACCCUUACCUGCCAGAGAUACUGCAAAGCUUAGAGUUUGGCACAGGUUAACCGAACUGUCGAAAGGAGGGGUAAAAUCCAGCGAUAACGAACAGCACGCGCGAAAGGCGGCAGCAGUUAACCGGUGCAAUCUGACGUUUUAUGGGCUAAAAGCGUGGGGAGCAAACAGG
rnacentral:rRNA from 1 species